rnacentral:rRNA from 1 species
AGCUCCGCUAGCGUAUAUUAAAAUUGUUGCAGUUAAAAAGCUCGUAGUUGGAUUUUUAACGGAUACGCCUCAUCAUGAGACAGCUUCUUUUGAUCAGAGUGCGGUAUUUGUUUUUGGUAGCUUGAGAACUGGGAUUUGGCAUUUUAUUAUGUUGGGACUUGACGAACAGGGCAGAUUACUUUGAAGAAAGGAGAGCGUUUAAGGCAAGGUCGACACGUGUAUCUAGUAGCAUGGAAUAAUAAGAUAGGACGUCGUUCUAUUUUUCGUUGGUUUAUAGAAUUCAUGUAAUGAUUGAUAGGGAUAGUUGGGGGUGCUAGUAUUCAAUGGCCAGAGGUGAAAUUCUUGGAUUCAUUGAAGACUGACUUCCGCGAAAGCAUUCACCAAGGAUAUCUUCU